rnacentral:rRNA from 1 species
GACGGAGGGUGCUAGCGUUGUUCGGAAUUACUGGGCGUAAAGGGCGCGUAGGCGGCCCUGUCAGUCGGGUGUGAAAGCCCGGGGCUCAACCCCGGAACGGCACCCGAGACGGCGGGGCUGGAGACCGGGAGAGGAGGGUGGAAUAGCCAGUGUAGAGGUGAAAUUCGUAGAUAUUGGCUGGAACACCGGUGGCGAAGGCGGGUCUCUGGGCCGAUACUGACGCUGAGGAGCGAAAGCGUGGGGAGCGAACAGG